GCCCGGAUGGUCUAGUGGUAUGAUUCGCGCUUAGGGCGAUAACCCAAAGCAAAAUUGCGCGAGGUCCCCGGUUCGAUCCCGGGUUCGGGCC
rnacentral:tRNA from 1 species